CCCGAGACUCCAACUCCCGGCAGGCCGUGCUGCCGGCGCGGCGUGUGACGCAACGGCUAUCGCGGCACAUGAGUGGCUGUCAGCCCGAGACUCCAACUCCCGGCAGGCCCUGCUGCUGGCGCGGCGUGUGACGCAACGGGCGACGCGGCCCGGCAUUUUUCUCUAAAUCGGCAGUAAAUACAGCUGAGUAAAAUUAGCUUGGUUUUCUUCCUUCUUUUGUAACUGAACUGUUUUUAUUAAAAAUCCUAUUUGAAUAUGUAGAAAAAGUGGGGAUGUCCUGUAAUAUAUCGUAGCUUUUCUUGUUUACAGGGUACUGAGAAAAUACGUCUCCCUUAGAGUCCCGCGGAAAGGUUCUCAGUGCGCUCUCUAUCAAGGAAGUGUUGGAAGUUAGUGUUUUGGGAAAGAAACGGCAGUUCCACAGAACAUUCCAUUUCACAGAGGCUCUGGGAACGAUUCAUGUUUGCUAUGAGUCUUGAUAAAUUGGAGAAGAGCCCAAGAGAAAUUUUUCAUCCCUUGAUAUAAAAGGAUUUAUUGGUUCUGGAAGAACAAGAGGGAAGUACAAGCCUAACUACUUCUAGCUCACAGGCCCGUCCGGUGAACCCAGGGAUCGGUGAAUUUUAACUUUGGAGUCCCCUAUGCUAAGGAUGCUCAGCUUACAGGUGAUGAAAUGUUCAGUAAUGUAUUUGCUGCAGCUCUGCUUACCCAAGCUUUGGGUUCCUUCUGUCCCACUGGGAGUUGCCCAGUUUGGUUGCAUCUGGUGAAAUUCACCCUGAGACCUUACAGAACCAGCUCCAACUACGUGAGAGCCAUUUGCAGUUCUCUCCAGACACCUGGAGAAUGGGUGACGUUUCUGAGGAUCCGGCGAGCGUGCUUCUGUCAAAACUCAGUCUGUGAAAUUCCUGGGGAAAACCCUUCUGUGUCCUGAAGGGUUCAAACUCUGGUGAGGAUCCAGUUAUCAGGGGCUCACCUGGAUGGUUCCAGCUCCCAAAGGGAAAGACUCUCGUAUCCUUGUCGUCGGGCUCGGUGCUGUCCAAGAAGAUACGGGGACUAAAAAAAUCAUAAGAAGCAAAAUAUGACUGCAGGGAAAAGAAGCUGGAGAGAACAGAAGACUCAUCACGGCGGGACAGCGUGAAGACUGAAAGUGUAAGAAGAUGUGGAGGGAAAGAGAGAAUCUGACAGGAGCAUCGGAGGGACGAGUGCACGAAUUUUGCUUUUUGCUUGGAUGUAAACUCAGGAGUUGAGAGGAAUUUGGGAGUGAGAAGGGACAUCUCAGAAGGAGAAGAAGAAAAAGAGGUUGUUGUUGUUGUUACAGUCCUGGCAAAAUCUUUUGUUCUAGCUAAUAAAAGAAGUUAGUUUAAAAAACAAAAAGGAAAAAAUGUAGUGUUUUUUUUUUCCUUCACUAUGAUAUUCAUUGGUGGUAUAUGGUGUGUUGUUUCAUUUCUUGGUAUUAUUAACUCUGUGUAAAUUGUUUUUUGAGUGAAGCUGACUUUCUGGAUGGGUUGGUUUGUAUUUGAGGCAGGAUUAAUUUCAGUAGGGUUCUUUCAUAGAUUUCUGAUGGGUAUUACUGGGAUUUUGGUUUUGUUUACUGUAUGUAUGAACCUAGAGCUUUGGUAGGGCCAGCUGGGCUGCUGGAGUUUUGGGUGUGAAUUUAUUAGAUGGCUUUUGUUAGAUGCAGUUUUUAAUUUUUGAAAUGUUUUUCAAUGUAGU